rnacentral:rRNA from 1 species
AUACGUAGGGGGCGAGCGUUGUCCGGAAUGAUUGGGCGUAAAGGGCGCGUAGGCGGCGCGGUAAGUCUGGAGUGAAAGUCCUGCUUUCAAGGUGGGAAUUGCUUUGGAUACUGCCGCGCUUGAGUGCAGGAGAGGUUAUCGGAAUUCCCGGUGCAGCGGUGAAAUGCGUAGAGAUCGGGAGGAACACCAGUGGCGAAGGCGGGUAACUGGACUGCAACUGACGCUGAGGCGCGAAAGUGUGGGGAGCAAACAGGAUUAGAUACCCUGGUAGUCCACACUGUAAACGAUGAAUGCUAGGUGUAAGAGGUAUCGACCCCUUUUGUGCCGGAGUCAACACAAUAAGCAUUCCGCCUGGGGAGUACGGCCGCAAGGUUGAAACUCAAAUGAAUUGACGGGG